AGUGAACGCUGGCGGUAGGCCUAACACAUGCAAGUCGAACGGCAGCACAGUAAGAGCUUGCUCUUACGGGUGGCGAGUGGCGGACGGGUGAGGAAUACAUCGGAAUCUACUUUUUCGUGGGGGAUAACGUAGGGAAACUUACGCUAAUACCGCAUACGACCUACGGGUGAAAGCAGGGGAUCUUCGGACCUUGCGCGAUUGAAUGAGCCGAUGUCGGAUUAGCUAGUUGGCGGGGUAAAGGCCCACCAAGGCGACGAUCCGUAGCUGGUCUGAGAGGAUGAUCAGCCACACUGGAACUGAGACACGGUCCAGACUCCUACGGGAGGCAGCAGUGGGGAAUAUUGGACAAUGGGCGCAAGCCUGAUCCAGCCAUACCGCGUGGGUGAAGAAGGCCUUCGGGUUGUAAAGCCCUUUUGUUGGGAAAGAAAAGCAGCAGGUUAAGACCCCGCUGUUCCGACGGUACCCAAAGAAUAAGCACCGGCUAACUUCGU
rnacentral:rRNA from 1 species